UGAAGAGUUUGAUCAUGGCUCAGAUUGAACGCUGGCGGCAGGCCUAACACAUGCAAGUCGAACGGUAACAGGAAGCAGCUUGCUGCUUCGCUGACGAGUGGCGGACGGGUGAGUAAUGUCUGGGAAACUGCCUGAUGGAGGGGGAUAACUACUGGAAACGGUGGCUAAUACCGCAUAACGUCGCAAGACCAAAGAGGGGGACCUUCGGGCCUCUUGCCAUCAGAUGUGCCCAGAUGGGAUUAGCUUGUUGGUGAGGUAACGGCUCACCAAGGCGACGAUCCCUAGCUGGUCUGAGAGGAUGACCAGCCACACUGGAACUGAGACACGGUCCAGACUCCUACGGGAGGCAGCAGUGGGGAAUAUUGCACAAUGGGCGCAAGCCUGAUGCAGCCAUGCCGCGUGUAUGAAGAAGGCCUUCGGGUUGUAAAGUACUUUCAGCGGGGAGGAAGGUGUUGUGGUUAAUAACCGCAGCAAUUGACGUUACCCGCAGAAGAAGCACCGGCUAACUCCGUGCCAGCAGCCGCGGUAAUACGGAGGGUGCAAGCGUUAAUCGGAAUUACUGGGCGUAAAGCGCACGCAGGCGGUCUGUCAAGUCGGAUGUGAAAUCCCCGGGCUCAACCUGGGAACUGCAUUCGAAACUGGCAGGCUUGAGUCUUGUAGAGGGGGGUAGAAUUCCAGGUGUAGCGGUGAAAUGCGUAGAGAUCUGGAGGAAUACCGGUGGCGAAGGCGGCCCCCUGGACAAAGACUGACGCUCAGGUGCGAAAGCGUGG
rnacentral:rRNA from 1 species